AGAGUUUGAUCAUGGCUCAGAACGAACGCUGGCGGCGCGCCUAAUACAUGCAAGUCGAGCGAGAAGACGUAGCAAUACGUUUGUAAAGCGGCGAACGGGUGAGGAAUACAUGGGUAACCUACCCUCGAGUGGGGAAUAACUAGCCGAAAGGUUAGCUAAUACCGCAUACGACUCCUGGUCUGCGGAUCGGGAGGGAAAGCGAUACCGUGGGUAUCGCGCUCUUGGAUGGGCUCAUGUCCUAUCAGCUUGUUGGUGAGGUAACGGCUCACCAAGGCUUCGACGGGUAGCUGGUCUGAGAGGACGAUCAGCCACACUGGCACUGCGACACGGGCCAGACUCCUACGGGAGGCAGCAGUAAGGAAUAUUGCGCAAUGGGCGACAGCCUGACGCAGCGACGCCGCGUGGGGGAUGAAGGUCUUCGGAUUGUAAACCCCUUUCGGCAGGGAAGAUGGAACGGGUAACCGUUCGGACGGUACCUGCAGAAGCAGCCACGGCUAACUUCGUGCCAGCAGCCGCGGUAAUACGAAGGUGGCAAGCGUUGUUCGGAUUUACUGGGCGUACAGGGAGCGUAGGCGGUUGGGUAAGCCCUCCGUGAAAUCUCCGGGCCUAACCCGGAAAGUGCGGAGGGGACUGCUCGGCUAGAGGAUGGGAGAGGAGCGCGGAAUUCCCGGUGUAGCGGUGAAAUGCGUAGAGAUCGGGAGGAAGGCCGGUGGCGAAGGCGGCGCUCUGGAACAUUUCUGACGCUGAGGCUCGAAAGCGUGGGGAGCAAACAGGAUUAGAUACCCUGGUAGUCCACGCCU
rnacentral:rRNA from 1 species